rnacentral:tRNA from 1 species
GGAGGAAUGGCCGAGCGGUCGAAGGCGGCGGUCUUGAAAACCGCAGUUGGGGAAACUCAACCGGGGGUUCGAAUCCCUCUUCCUCCGCCA